AGCUCUGUGUUCCACAUUUGCUUUUCUAUCAAGCAGAAGACUAACCACUUCAGUUCUUCCUUGGAAGCAGGCUAAGAAAAUGUGCAAUUAUGCAUCUGUCACCCUCAUGGGACUAUCUAUUACUGGAAGGGAUUGUGGAACUUGAGCAAUGAAUGGCACUCUAGCACAGCCCUCUCCAAAAUCAACAUUAUCUCCAACCACUACAAGUAAUUUUCUUUUCAUAAGUUUUUAUCUUAUCUGUAUCAAUUUCUAAAGUAUACCACUCUCUCUUAUAUACUUCUCAUUAUUUCUAUUUUACCUUCCAUAUUACAGUGAUAAUUUGAAUAUCUUUUUAAUACUACCAAUGACAAGAUAUUACUACAGAUUUCUGGGUUUCAAAAGGAUGGAGAACCAACUGCAUUCUUGUGAUUCAGAAUAUCAGCACAGGAAGAACUUUCAGGUCAUACAGUAUAAAGGUUAAACUGGAAGAAUGCCUUUAUUCCCCCCCACAGAAUUGCUUUAUUUUUCCCUAUCUUUCUGUACUCCUACUAAUUUUUCCAACCAGAGGAACCUCUUUUGUUACAUCAUCAUGGUAUCUAUCUUUCUAAACUUUAUCCAGCCCCAAGCAUAACAUCUCAGAUGAUGUCUUCACCUCUUCUGAGCUUUCUGCUUAUCCUUUCCCUAUGACACCUCUUUAUAAUCUAAGAAUGACCUCAGUAUUUCACCCUUCUCACUAAAAGUUAUCUGAGGGGACUGCCCUGGUGGAUCAGUGGCAAAAAAAUCCACUUGCCUAUACAGGAGACAGGAAUUCAAUCCCUGAUCUGGGAAGAUCCCACAUGCCGCAGAACAACAAAACCCCUGCACCAUAACUACUCAGCUCGUGCUCUAGAGCCCAGGGAGCCACAGUUACUGAGGCCUGUGCACCCUUGAGCCUGUGCCCCACAAGAAGAGAAGCCUGCAAUGAGAAGCCCACGUGCUGCAUCUAGAGAGCAUCCCCCACUUGCCAUAACUAGAAAAAGACCCAGCACAGCCAAAAAAUUAAAUAAACAACUCUUUUAAAACAAAAAAUAAGGUAUCUGAAAGAAAAUAUUACUUAUCUUUUUAACUCCUUUAUUCAGUAAUGCUUUGAAUGGUACAGGUACAAUUUAUUUCCUAAACUACAGUGAAAUGCCCCUAAGCAAUAUGUGCCUUUUUGCGACAAAUCAAAGAAACUUCUAAAAAUAGUUAAGUACCUAAAAGAAAAUUUGUACUAAUUAUUACCAUUAAUUAUUAACAUAUUGAACACAAAAUUUUCCCCUUUUUGUAGGGGGAAAGGGGUAUUUGACUGGAUAUUGCUGCUAAUGAGGAAAUAAGAAUGGACACAAAACAGCGUAGGGAAAAAAUAUGACUAAAUGAAUAAACAAUGGUGAAAAGGUGAACAUAAAAUUAGAAGUAAAGAAAUACCUUUCGUCUACAGUCUCCACAGGAUUUUAAG